CCACUUUUGGGGAGAUCUGGCUUCUCUGCUGAGUUUUGAGGAGUUUUGAGUGGAUCUGGUUUGUUCCUGUGGCCUCUCCACUGGAAGCACCAGCAGAUUUCCAGGCAUCCAUAAUCAGGGGUGGCAAGGGGAGAGCUGACACCCAGGGCCCAUUUUCCAAAAACGUGAAGCUGCUCCAGUCACCACUCCUGAUCCAGCAAAUGCUGCAGGCUGGGAAAUUAAAAUAAUAGCUAGAUCUGCUUUCAGGAGAGCGACUCCUCUGUGCAAUUAUAACACGUAUUAUCCUCCCUGUGAAAAUACAUUAUAUUGAAUAAAUUCCCUCUCGGAGCAGGGCUAUUCAUACUGCUCAUUUGUUUCAGUUCAAACAUUUUUAGCUCAUCUCUCUGGCAGGUUCUGGUGCAGUUUUAUACCUUCUCUGCAGCUUAUUUAUCUGCUUCCCCGUGUUGCAGUAGAGGCCGGCGAUAAGAAUAAAACCAUUACAGAUUUGCGAACAGCACUUAGAUUUUUCAGAGAUAAUUUAAUCAAAGCUAUUAGGAAGGCAGGAAGAAAGAUUGCUCUUUAUUCAGGGGGGAAAAAAAGAUAUAAAAAGGAGCCUUCAUUCUUCUCAGAAAAUGUUUUAGCCACCUGAAGUCACUCAGAAGGACUUGAAAGGGUGACGGCGUCUUUGCCAGGGAAGAGAUCCAUCCCGGAAUAGCAAACUUCAAAAGACUUUACAGAGGAGAAACACUUUUGUGAUUCAGAAAACCCGUGAAUACUUUGCCGGAACAUAAAUUUCCCCCAGCGAUGUUGGGAACACAAGGAGAGCCUUAAUCUGCUAAUGAAUGAGCUCUGCAAAGUGAGACCGGCUCCGCUGCCACUUCCAGAGGGAUUGAAUUGCAGGGAGGAAGCUGGAGGAGAGAGAUUUUUAAAAGUCCUUCUGCUUUAGCACAAAUAAAUAAUGCAUCAGCACGUCUGGGGUGGCGGCGGGUGAGUCCCUCCCUUGAGGCUCUGGGGAGCCCACCCGAAGUUUUCCAUGCUCCCAAAACAGGAAUAACACUGGAUUGUAGUGACACGACAACAGGAAUGGCUUCAACCUGACAGAGAGUAGGUUAAGAUUAAAUAUGAGGAAGAAAUUCUUCCUUGUGAGGGAGGUGAGGCCCUGGCAGAGAUUGUCCAGAGAAGCUGUGGCUGCCCCAUCCCUGGAAGUGGUCGGAUGGGGCAGGAGCAACCUGGGAUAGUGGGAGAUGUCCCUGCCCAUGGCAGGGGGUGGAACAGGAUGGGCUUUAAUGUCCCUCCCAACUCCAACCAUUCACUGAUUCUCUUCUCUGAUUCUGUGCUCUUUCAGAUAACGAUAUCCCUUUAAUUUAAUAUCAUUAUUUUUGACCGGCACUGGCAAUUUGGAGCACGGAGUGUCUCCAUCUCUCAUCCUGACAAAUGCACGCUGUAAUUCUUUGCCCAAAAUGUCACUCUGCCCUGGCAAUGCCUGGCCCUCGGUACGAGAAAGAUUUCCCGGGGAUUAAAACCGGGCCAUUACUCUCUGCUUUAAAUGCAUUCAAGGUUCUGAAAGCUGUAUCUGCUCUCGUUCUUUUUGUACGAAAAGUUAUUGACUUAUCAAGGUUAAAAUCCAUUCCGUAUGGCCCAAUAAAACAGGGAUAUCUCCGCAUCCGU